rnacentral:rRNA from 1 species
CCUACGGGGGGCAGCAGUGAGGAAUAUUGGUCAAUGGCCGCAGGGCUGAACCAGCCAAGUCGCGUGAGGGAUGACGGUCCUAUGGAUUGUAAACCUCUUUUGUCAGGGAGCAAAGGGCGCCACGUGUGGCGCUUUGCGAGUACCUGAAGAAAAAGCAUCGGCUAACUCCGUGCCAGCAGCCGCGGUAAUACGGAGGAUGCGAGCGUUAUCCGGAUUUUUUGGGUUUAAAGGGUCUGAGGGCGGAUGGUCAAGUCAGCGGUAAAAUUUCGGGGCUCAACCCCGUCGUGCCGUUGAAACUGGCGUUCUUGAGUGAGCGAGAAGUAUGCGGAAUGCGUGGUGUAGCGGUGAAAUGCAUAGAUAUCACGCAGAACUCCGAUUGCGAAGGCAGCAUACCGGCGCUCAACUGACGCUCAUGCACGAAAGCGUGGGUAUCGAACAGGAUUAGAUACCCCAGUAGUC